ensembl:lncRNA
GAGAGGAGAGAGACAGUAGACAAACAGUAGUAAUGGAGAGGAGACAGACAGUAGACAGUAGACAAACGGUAGUAACAGAGACAGUAGACAGUAGACAAACGGUAGUAACGGAGACAGUAGACAGACGGUAGUAACGGAGAGGAGAGAGACAGUAGACAAACGGUAGUAACAGAGACAGUAGACAGACAGUAGUAACGGAGAGGGGAGACAGUAGAGAGUAGUAACAGAGAUGAGAGACAGUAGACAGACGGUAGUAACGGAGAGGAGAGAGACAGUAGACAGUAGACAAACGGUAGUAACGGAGACAGUAGACAGUAGACAGGCGGUAGUAACGGAGAGGAGAGACAGGAGACAGACAGUAGUAACGGAGAGGGGAGUGACAGUAGACAGACGGUAAUAACGGAGAGGAGAGAGACCGUAGAAAGACGGUAGUAACAGGGAGGAGAGACAGUAGACAGAUGGUAGUAAUGGAGAGGAGAGAGACAGUAGACAGACAGUAGUAACGGAGAGGAGAGAGACAGUAGACAAACGGUAGUAACAGAGACAGUAGACAGACGGUAGUAACGGAGACAGUAGACAAACGGUAGUAACGGAGACAGUAGACAGACGGUAGUAACGGAGAGGAGAGACAGGAGACAGACGGUAGUAAUGGAAAGACAGUAGACAGACAGUAGUAACGGAGAGGGGAGACAGUAGACAGACGGUAGUAAUGGAGAGGAGAGAGACAGUAGACAGUAGACAAACGGUAGUAACGGAGACAGUAGACAGUAGACAAACGGUAGUAACGGAGACAGUAGACAGACGGUAGUAACGGAGAGGAGAGAGACAGUAGACAAACGGUAGUAACAGAGACAGUAGACAGACAGUAGUAACGGAGAGGGGAGACAGUAGAGAGUAGUAACGGAGACAGUAGACAGUAGACAGGCGGUAGUAACGGAGAGGAGAGACAGGAGACAGACGGUAGUAACGGAGAGACAGUAGACAGACGGUCCUAACGGAGACAGUAGUAACGGAGACGGGAGCGACAGUAGUAACGGAGACGGGGGCGACAGUAGACAGUAGUAACGGAGACAGUAUAAUGGAGAGGGGAGCGACAGUAGACAGUAGAAACGGAGACGGGAGCGACAGUAGUAACGGAGACUGUAGUAACGGAGACGGGAGCGACAGUAGACAGUAGUAAUGGAGACAGUAGACAGUAGUAACGGAGAGGGGAGCGACAGUAGACAAACGGUAGUAACGGAGACAGUAGUAACGGAGACAGUAGACAGUAGUAACGGAGACAGUAGACAGUAGUAACGGAGACAGUAGACAGUAGUAACGGAGACAGUAGUAACAGAGACAGUAGACGGUAGUAACGGAGACAGUAGACAGUAGUAACGGAGACAGUAGACAGUAGUAACGGAGAGGGGAGCGACAGUAGACAAACGGUAGUAAAGGAGACAGUAGUAACGGAGAGAGUAGUAACGGAGACAGUAGUCAGUAGUAACGGAGAGGGGAGCGACAGUAGACAGACGGCAGUAACAGAGAGGGGAGCGACAGUAGACAGACGAUAGUAACGGAGAGGAGAGACACAGUAGACAGACGGUAGUAACAGAGACAGUAGACAGACGGUAGAGAGAGACAGUAGACAGACGGUAGUAACAGAGACAGUAGACAGUAGACAGACGGUAGUAACGGAGAGGAGAAAGACGG